GUGGACAAUAAGCAAUGGAGACUAUAGACUGAAAGGUGUGAUGUCAUAGGCCAGCAAGGAUGUAGAGUUCUAUGGGCCGGAUGAAAGGAUAAAGCUGAGUGCAUUUCCUCUCUUCACUGCUCUGCGAAGUUCAAGAAGUAUGAAUGCCCUGACUUCUGCAGAGGCCAUAUCACCGUAAAUGCUGCACGGUCAAUGCAGAUGUCGGAUUGACCAUGAAGUGCCUUUAACAAAUCACGAGGACUUCUCUGCGCUCAUCAAUCGUGGUGUGAUAUAGACGUUCUUCCAUGUCCCAAAAAUAAACUGGAAGAAGCAGCCCAGGCCUGCUGGACCGAUUUGACAGCUGUCCAUUGAGUCCCAGGUUAACUUUUUCGACUGGUGAUUGAAUGGGCACUGAAGGGAGAGAGACUGGGACAAGGGAACAGAAGAGUCUUGCCUUCAUGUGUUUGUGUCAUGCGACGCAAAUAUCCCUUGCUGACAGAAGUGUACGUCUGAUUGAUUCAAUGAGGUAGAAGAUGUGAUGGGCCUAUUGUAAUUACACUACGAUGACUCCGCUUCACAGCCAGACAUUGCCUAACCAACCAACUUGGUCAAAUCCCUCUAAUAAACCAGUACAUCCUAUUUUGUUACAAUUCUGUCGAAUCACAGUAAUAAAUGCCAUUAUUUAUUUGAACCAGUACCACCUGUUUUGUUACUAUCUACUAUAAGUAAUGUAUUACAGUAUGCCACAUGAUAGUGUUGUGUAUGAAAUAAAGCAGUCAGAUCAAUGUAUCAGUAAGAUUUGAAUACAUAAGGUAAAUGGUAAAACCCAACAAAUCAUAGUGUGUACCUAUGUAGUGACACAACAAUCGAUGAACCGUGGUUGGGUGGGGCGUUCAGAAUAGCCCUCAAGUAUCCUUGAAUAUUGAUGUCUGUGCUCUUGAUGUCUGGGCUCCUGAGUGGUGUAGUGGUCUAAUGCACUGCAUCUCAGUGCUAGAAGCACAGGUUUGAUCCCGGGCUGUAUCACAACCAGCC
rnacentral:lncRNA from 1 species